rnacentral:rRNA from 1 species
GAGUUUGAUCCUGGCUCAGGAUGAACGCUGGCGGCGUGCCUAACACAUGCAAGUCGAACGGAGUCCAGCCUUUAAGACCUUCGGGUCAAAGAGGGGAAGACUGAGUGGCGGACGGGUGAGUAACACGUGGGCAACCUGGCUCAUAGAGGGGGAUAACAGAGAGAAAUUUCUGCUAAUACCGCAUAAGCACACACUGCCGCAUGGCAGAGGGUGAAAAGAGAAUCGCUAUGAGAUGGACCCGCGUCUGAUUAGCCAGUUGGCAGGGUAAGAGCCUACCAAAGCGACGAUCAGUAGCCGAUCUGAGAGGAUGAACGGCCACAUUGGGACUGAGACACGGCCCAAACUCCUACGGGAGGCAGCAGUGGGGGAUAUUGCACAAUGGGGGGAACCCUGAUGCAGCGACGCCGCGUGAGUGAAGAAGUAUUUCGGUAUGUAAAGCUCUAUCAGCAGGGAAGAUAAUGACAGUACCUGAAUAAGAAGCCCCGGCUAACUACGUGCCAGCAGCCGCGGUAAUACGUAGGGGGCAAGCGUUAUCCGGAUUUACUGGGUGUAAAGGGAGCGUAGACGGAAUGGCAAGUCUGAAGUGAAAUGCCCGGGCUCAACCCGGGAACUGCUUUGGAAACUGUCGGUCUGGAGUGUUGGAGAGGUAAGUGGAAUUCCUGGUGUAGCGGUGAAAUGCGUAGAGAUCAGGAAGAACACCGGAGGCGAAGGCGGCUUACUGGACAAAGACUGACGUUGAGGCUCGAAAGCGUGGGAAGCAAACAGGAUUAGAUACCCUGGUAGUCCACGCCGUAAACGAUGAAUACUAGGUGUCGGUCUCCGAAGGAGAUCGGUGCCGACGCAAACGCAAUAAGUAUUCCACCUGGGGAGUACGUUCGCAAGAAUGAAACUCAAAGGAAUUGACGGGGGCCCGCACAAGCGGCGGAGCAUGCGGAUUAAUUCGAUGCAACGCGAAGAACCUUACCAAGGCUUGACAUGGGCCGGUGGUUCCCGGAGACGGGAGCGUCCCCUUUUUGUGGGCUGGUUCACAGGUGGUGCAUGGUUGUCGUCAGCUCGUGUCGUGAGAUGUUGGGUUAAGUCCCGCAACGAGCGCAACCCUUGUCUCGUGUUGCCAGCACGUUGUGGUGGGGACUCGCGGGAGACUGCCGGGGUCAACUCGGAGGAGGGUGGGGAUGACGUCAAAUCAUCAUGCCCCUUAUGUCUUGGGCUUCACGCAUGCUACAAUGGCCGGUACAGUGGGUUGCGAUGUCGUGAGGCGGAGCGAAUCCCUGAAAGCCGGUCUCAGUUCGGAUCGGUGUCUGCAACUCGACACCGUGAAGUUGGAGUCGCUAGUAAUCGCAGAUCAGCAACGCUGCGGUGAAUACGUUCUCGGGCCUUGUACACACCGCCCGUC